rnacentral:rRNA from 1 species
CCUACGGGGUGCAGCAGUGAGGAAUAUUGGUCAAUGGCCGCAGGGCUGAACCAGCCAAGUCGCGUGAGGGAUGACGGUCCUAUGGAUUGUAAACCUCUUUUGUCAGGGAGCACAGGGCGCCACGUGUGGCGCUUUGCGAGUACCUGAAGAAAACGCAUCGGCUAACUCCGUGCCAGCAGCCGCGGUAAUACGGAGGGUGCGAGCGUUAUCCGGAUUUAUUGGGUUUAAAGGGUGCGCAGGCGGAAUGUCAAGUCAGCGGUAAAAUUUCGGGGCUCAACCCCGUCGUGCCGUUGAAACUGGCGUUCUUGAGUGAGCGAGAAGUAUGCGGAAUGCGUGGGGUAGCGGUGAAAUGCAUAGAGAUCACGCAGAACUCCGAUUGCGAAGGCAGCAUACCGGCGCUCAACUGACGCUCAUGCACGAAAGCGUGGGUAUCGAACAGGAUUAGAUACCCGGGUAGUC